rnacentral:rRNA from 1 species
CCUACGGGGAGCAGCAGUGGGGAAUAUUGGGCAAUGGGCGCAAGCCUGACCCAGCAACGCCGCGUGAAGGAAGAAGGCUUUCGGAUUGUAAACUUCUUUUGUCAGGGAAGAGUAGAAGACGGUACCUGACGAAUAAGCCACGGCUAACUACGUGCCAGCAGCCGCGGUAAUACGUAGGUGGCAAGCGUUGUCCGGAUUUACUGGGUGUAAAGGGCGUGUAGCCGGGUUGACAAGUCAGAUGUGAAAUCCUGCGGCUUAACCGCAAAACUGCAUUUGAAACUGUUGAUCUUGAGUACUGGAGAGGCAGACGGAAUUCCUAGUGUAGCGGUGAAAUGCGUAGAUAUUAGGAGGAACACCAGUGGCGAAGGCGGUCUGCUGGACAGCAACUGACGGUGAGGCGCGAAAGCGUGGGGAGCAAACAGGAUUAGAUACCCGAGUAGUC